GUCAAUCAAUGUAGUGCUUACUGUGUACUGAGCACUAUACUACAUGCUUGGGAGAUUUAUCCAGGAUUAGUUGUGGUUUCACAGAGCUGAAUAGGGGAGAGAGAACAGAAGCAAGUGGGGAUAUCUGGAGUGGCUUCAGGGGCCACUUGAGAGCAGUAGAUCUAGGACCAUCAUCCCGUUUCCUCAGUCACUAAAGCGGCCCUGUUUCACACUGUUAUCAAUCUUUCCUCCAGCUCUCUGGGAAACGUGGGCAACCAUAAAGCUGCAUCCGCCAUCAUGGAGAAGCAGCACAGAAUCCUAACCAACCUGCAGCAGGAACAGGUAGAAAUUAAACACCUGCAGAGUGUCUCCAGCGCAGCUCAUCAGGAAAGGAAUCUUUUAGCGAAACAGCACAAAGACAUCUUCAGUAUGCAGCAAUCAACAGUUCUUCUGCAACAGGAAUGGCAGAGUUUGGUUAAAAAGCAG
rnacentral:lncRNA from 1 species